UUGGUCUUCGGCAGAGCGGCUCUGUAGACUUUUCUGGACUUAAACUUCGGGUCGUUUGCGCAAGUUGAAACCGUGUACUGUUUCGAGACUCCAAGCACCGGAGAAGCGGCGGGGUGCUGUGUGUAGCUUUCACAGCUCCUGAGUUACAAAAGUUUUUCCACCUACAUUUAAUCUUCAUUCUGUGAGAGAAUUAGUACCAGUCCGACUUUAUACGUAAGGACACGGAAUUCAUGUUGAAUGACUUGCCCGUGGCUACUACGUGGCACAUAAGCUACUAGUAAUGGGCAUUACCAGUGAAGAGGAACUUUCAGUUAUGCAGAAUUAAACUGAUGUGCUGGCGUGAAGACAGUAACCAGACCAAAGUGUGUUAACUCUGGUCCGAGUGUCUUCUCCACACACUUCUCCUCAGUCCCCCAGUGGAACAGAAAGGAUUCCAAAACCCAAGAGGAGAGGGGAGCCACACACCAGUAGAGCCUGGGACUCAGCGAUCACAUGGAAAGCUGCUGGUCAGUCGACUGCUACUUGAGCAAGAAUAAAACCUCGAUUGUAUUAAAAUAUUGAGGUUUAGGAAUUCAUUUCUUCCUGGAGUCAAUCAUAAUUUAAUUAAUCAGUUGUUACUAUAUUUAUAUCAUCAUUACAAAGUAAAUAUAGCAGAUAUGAGGAAAAUGUGUUUAUGUGGAUUUGUGGCUUGGAUUAUAUAAAGAUAUGACUUAUAAUAGCAUACAGUUUACAGCAAAAUGCCAAAAUGUACAGAAAAAAGAAAAGCAGUAAGCUGGCCUUUUCACUAUUUGGAUCUAAGAGUCUUGAUGCAAUUACAAAGUGUUUCUACAACCACAGAGUUUGUCACACAAAGCCUAAGUGUUUUGAAUAAAUGAAUUAUUCUUC